rnacentral:rRNA from 1 species
UACGUAGGGAGCAAGCGUUGUCCGGAAUCAUUGGGCGUAAAGCGCGCGUAGGUGGCUUCGUAAGUCCGUUGUGAAAGUCAAAGGCUCAACCUUUGAAAGCCGAUGGAUACUGCGGAGCUAGAGUACGGGAAGAGGCGAGUGGAAUUCCUGGUGUAGCGGUGGAAUGCGCAGAUAUCAGGAGGAACACCAAUGCGAAGGCAGCUCGCUGG